rnacentral:rRNA from 1 species
AUACGUAGGGUGCGAGCGUUGUCCGGAAUUACUGGGCGUAAAGAGCUCGUAGGUGGUUUGUCGCGUCGUCUGUGAAAUUCCGGGGCUUAACUCCGGGCGUGCAGGCGAUACGGGCAUAACUUGAGUACUGUAGGGGAGACUGGAAUUCCUGGUGUAGCGGUGAAAUGCGCAGAUAUCAGGAGGAACACCGGUGGCGAAGGCGGGUCUCUGGGCAGUAACUGACGCUGGGGGGCGAAAGCAUGGGUAGCGAACAGGAUUAGAUACCCUGGUAGUCCAUGCCGUAAACGGUGGGCGCUAGGUGUAGGGGUCUUCCACGACUUCUGUGCCGUAGCUAACGCAUUAAGCGCCCCGCCUGGGGAGUACGGCCGCAAGGCUAAAACUUAAAGGAAUUGACGGGG